rnacentral:rRNA from 1 species
UACGUAGGGUGCAAGCGUUGUCCGGAAUUAUUGGGCGUAAAGAGCUCGUAGGCGGUUAGUCGCGUCUGCUGUGAAAACUCGGGGCUUAACCCUGGGCCUGCAGUGGGUACGGGCUGACUAGAGUGCGGUAGGGGAGACUGGAAUUCCUGGUGUAGCGGUGAAAUGCGCAGAUAUCAGGAGGAACACCGGUGGCGAAGGCGGCAUCCUGGACCAACACUGACGCUGAUGAGCGAAAGCCAGGGGAGCAAACGGG